rnacentral:lncRNA from 1 species
CUUCUGUCUAACGAUAUUUGCUUGACAAUUUCUUAUUUGAAAAUCAUAUAAAAUAUCUAUAAACAAGCCGUUUAAAUAACGGCAACAGUAGUAUCCUGCUGAUUAAAAGUCAUAAAUCGAUUGCGAGAAAACAAAUCCGGGUUACAAACUAAAACCGAGUGAAACACAUCAACUAUCAAAGGAAAACAAAGGAACAACAGGACAGUGCAACAAAAACAAACACCAACAUUCAUAGAAACGAACUAUUAUAUAACAACUAUCAUAAUCCUGACUUGGUACAGGACAUUUAAAGACCAAAUGGUGGGUUGAACCUAGUUGUGUGGCUAGCAAAACCUCCUACUUAAAUGACUAUGUUUAAAAAAGAUCGCUUAAAUGACAACAUUAUGUGACAGAGAUACAACACAAAUACACGCAGGAACACAAAUCACAGACAAAUGUACAAACAAAUAAUAUAAUAGUCGACACUACAUGCGAACAGUCAAACAACAACGAACAUCUUCCAUCGACGAUAAUAGCACACACAGUGACGCAUUUUUGUAACGAAUAAGUAAUCUAGAACUAUAUACAAUUAUUUUCGCAAUGUUAGCAGUUGCCAUCAUUAGGUUUUUGCAACCUCUUUCACUGCAUAUGUCAUUUGGUUUUAGAAUUAGUUAGUAGAUUAUAUUGUAAUAUACUUGAAAACUGAAUAUUAUAGCAACUAUCUUGUUCAAUCAGAUUUCAAUUUGAAUGACCCUAAAAACACAUAAACACG